CCUACGGGGGGCAGCAGUGGGGAAUAUUGGACAAUGGGGGGAACCCUGAUCCAGCCAUGCCGCGUGUGUGAAGAAGGCCCUCGGGUUGUAAAGCACUUUCAGUGAGGAAGAACGCCUGGUGGUUAAUACCCAUCAGGAAAGACAUCACUCACAGAAGAAGCACCGGCUAACUCCGUGCCAGCAGCCGCGGUAAUACGGAGGGUGCGAGCGUUAAUCGGAAUUACUGGGCGUAAAGCGCGCGUAGGUGGCUUGAUAAGCCGGUUGUGAAAGCCCCGGGCUCAACCUGGGAACGGCAUCCGGAACUGUCAAGCUAGAGUGCAGGAGAGGAAGGUAGAAUUCCCGGUGUAGCGGUGAAAUGCGUAGAGAUCGGGAGGAAUACCAGUGGCGAAGGCGGCCUUCUGGACUGACACUGACACUGAGGUGCGAAAGCGUGGGUAGCAAACAGCAUUAGAUACCCUUGUAGUC
rnacentral:rRNA from 1 species